rnacentral:rRNA from 1 species
CGCUGGCGGCAUGCCUUACACAUGCAAGUCGAACGGCAGCACGGGUGCUUGCACCUGGUGGCGAGUGGCGAACGGGUGAGUAAUACAUCGGAACAUGUCCUGUAGUGGGGGAUAGCCCGGCGAAAGCCGGAUUAAUACCGCAUACGAUCUGAGGAUGAAAGCGGGGGACCUUCGGGCCUCGCGCUAUAGGGUUGGCCGAUGGCUGAUUAGCUAGUUGGUGGGGUAAAGGCCUACCAAGGCGACGAUCAGUAGCUGGUCUGAGAGGACGACCAGCACACUGGGACUGAGACACGGCCCAGACUCCUACGGGAGGCAGCAGUGGGGAAUUUUGGACAAUGGGCGAAAGCCUGAUCCAGCAAUGCCGCGUGUGUGAAGAAGGCCUUCGGGUUGUAAAGCACUUUUGUCCGGAAAGAAAUCCUUGGUUCUAAUAUAGCCGGGGGAUGACGGUACCGGAAGAAUAAGCACCGGCUAACUACGUGCCAGCAGCCGCGGUAAUACGUAGGGUGCAAGCGUUAAUCGGAAUUACUGGGCGUAAAGCGUGCGCAGGCGGUUUGCUAAGACCGAUGUGAAAUCCCCGGGCUCAACCUGGGAACUGCAUUGGUGACUGGCAGGCUAGAGUAUGGCAGAGGGGGGUAGAAUUCCACGUGUAGCAGUGAAAUGCGUAGAGAUGUGGAGGAAUACCGAUGGCNAA